rnacentral:rRNA from 1 species
GAUGAACGCUGGCGGCGUGCCUAAUACAUGCAAGUCGAGCGAACGGACGAGAAGCUUGCUUCUCUGAUGUUAGCGGCGGACGGGUGAGUAACACGUGGAUAACCUACCUAUAAGACUGGGAUCACUUCGGGACACCGUAGCUAAUACCGGAUAAUAUUUUGAACCGCAUGGUUCAAAAGUGAAAGACGGUCUUGCUGUCACUUAUAGAUGGAUCCGCGCUGCAUUAGCUAGUUGGUAAGGUAACGGCUUACCAAGGCAACGCUGCAUAGCCGACCUGAGAGGGUGAUCGGCCACACUGGAACUGAGACACGGUCCAGACUCCUACGGGAGGCAGCAGUAGGGAAUCUUCCGCAAUGGGCGAAAGCCUGACGGAGCAACGCCGCGUGAGUGAUGAAGGUCUUCGGAUCGUAAAACUCUGUUAUUAGGGAAGAACAUAUGUGUAAGUAACUGUGCACAUCUUGACGGUACCUAAUCAGAAAGCCACGGCUAACUACGUG